AUUGAACGCUGGCGGCAGGCCUAACACAUGCAAGUCGAGCGGGGUUUUCGGACCUAGCGGCGGACGGGUGAGUAAUGCGUAGGAAGCUACCCGACAGAGGGGGAUACCAGUUGGAAACGACUGUUAAUACCGCAUAAUGUCUACGGACCAAAGUGUGGGACCUUCGGGCCACAUGCUGUCGGAUGCGCCUACGUGGGAUUAGCUAGUUGGUGAGGUAAUGGCUCACCAAGGCGACGAUCCCUAGCUGGUUUGAGAGGAUGAUCAGCCACACUGGAACUGAGACACGGUCCAAGGCUCCUACGGGAGGCAGCAGUGGGAAUAUUGGACAAUGGGCGCAAGCCUGAUCCAGCCAAUGCCGCGUGUGUGAAGAAGCCUGUGUAAGANACUUCUAGUACGAGGAGGAAGAGUAGUUGU
rnacentral:rRNA from 1 species